UACGUAGGGUGCGAGCGUUGUCCGGAAUUACUGGGCGUAAAGAGCUCGUAGGUGGUUUGUCGCGUUGUCCGUGAAAACUCACAGCUCAACUGUGGGCGUGCGGGCGAUACGGGCAGACUGGAGUACUGCAGGGGAGACUGGAAUUCCUGGUGUAGCGGUGGAAUGCGCAGAUAUCAGGAGGAACACCGGUGGCGAAGGCGGGUCUCUGGGCAACAACUGACGCUGAGGAGCGAAAGCGUGGGGAGCGAACAGG
rnacentral:rRNA from 1 species